rnacentral:rRNA from 1 species
UUCCGGUUGAUCCCGCCAGAUCCGAUUGCUAUUUGAGUGGCACUAAGUCAUGCAAGUCGAAAGCCCACAGGGGCUUGGCACACUGCUCAGUAACAAGUAGCCAACCUACCCCGAACUGGGGAAUACCCUCGGGAAACUGAGGAUAAUACCCCAUAGUUAAAUUGGCCUGGAAUGGUAAUUUAUCGAAAGCUUGCGGUUCGGGAUGGGACUGCUCCCGAUUAGGUAGUAAGCGGGGUAAAGGCCCACUUAGCCUAUUAUCGGUAUCGGCGAUGUAAGUCGGAGCCGUGAGAAAAGUCCUGAGACACAGACUUUAUUCUUACGAGAAGCAGCAGACGGGAAAACUUUACAAUGGGCGACAGCCCGAUAAGGCUACUCAAAGUGUCUUUUAGACUGUUCAGAACGGUAAACUCGUUCUGAAGGAAGGAGAGGGCAAGGCUGGUGCCAGCCGCCGCGGUAACACCAGCUCUUCAAGUGAUCGGGAUGAUUAUUGGGUUUAAAGCGUCCGUAGCCGGAUCUGUUAGUCCUUGCUUAAAUACCGCAACUUCAUUGUGGAACCGGUAAGGAUACUGCAGUUCUAGGGAAUGGGAGACGCUCGACGUACUUGCAGGGGAGCGGUGAAAUGUUUUGAUCUUGCAGGGACGAACUGUGGCGAAGGCUUCGAGCGAGAACAUGUUCGACGGUGAGUGGACGAAAGCGUAGGGAGCAAAGAGGAUUAGAGACCCUCGUAGUCUACGCUGUAAACGAUACCCGCUUAAUGUUUCAACAAUCUUGAAUUGUUGAAGUGUUGUAGGGAAACCGGUAAGCGGGUCACCUGGGAAGUACGAUUGCAUGAUUGAAACUUAAAGGAAUUGGCGGGA